rnacentral:rRNA from 1 species
UGGGGAAUCUUCCGCAAUGGACGAAAGUCUGACGGAGCAACGCCGCGUGAGUGAAGACGGCCUUCGGGUUGUAAAGCUCUGUGAUCCGGGACGAAAGAGCCUUGGGUUAAUAGCCUAAGGAAGUGACGGUACCGGAAAAGCAAGCCACGGCUAACUACGUGCCAGCAGCCGCGGUAAUACGUAGGUGGCAAGCGUUGUCCGGAAUUAUUGGGCGUAAAGCGCGCGCAGGCGGCUUCCUAAGUCCAUCUUAAAAGUGCGGGGCUUAACCCCGUGAUGGGAUGGAAACUGGGAAGCUGGAGUAUCGGAGAGGAAAGUGGAAUUCCUAGUGUAGCGGUGAAAUGCGUAGAGAUUAGGAAGAACACCGGUGGCGAAAGCGGCUCUCUGGUCUGUAACUGACGCUGAGGCUCGAAAGCGUGGGGAGCGAACAGG